rnacentral:lncRNA from 1 species
CAUCUUAUAGGGUGGGAUUGGAGGUCAACCUGCCCCUCUCCACUCCCAGUAACUGUUCACACAAUCGUGCUUUUUUUUUUAAUAAAAUUUUUAUUAGGGUUUUUACAUUGCAAAAUAGAAAAAGAAAAAAGAAAAAAUACAAAAUAAAAAUAGUUAAAAACAAUCAAUCUUUUCAUCACAUUUUUCCUUUACUUGUUUCUCGGACCUCCUCGGACCUCCCUUUUUUGUAUUCCAAUUCAAUUUAUUAGCUCAGCAGUUUCUUUCCCUCUUUAUUUUACCCAGAUCUUUAAUCUUAAAUUAUUAUAACCUUGAAUUUUUACUUAUAAAAAACAAUUUUUUCAUAUUCUUUUAUACCAUUACAGCUAGAAACCACUUAAUUUCAAUCCAACAUCAUUCUAGCAUUCAUUAAUUUUACAAUGUCUCUGUAGAUAGUCUUUAAAUUUCUUCCAGUCUUCUUCCACUGACUCUUCUCCCUGGUCUCGGAUCCUACCAGUCAUUUCCGCCAAUUCCAUGUAAUCCAUCACCUUCAUCUGCCAUUCUUCCAGAGUGGGUAAAUCUUGUGUCUUCCGUAAAUGGAUAGAGAUUGCUGGGUGUGUGUGGGUGUGUGUGUGUGUGUGCAUACUUGAAAGAGAAAGAGUGCUGCAUGCUGACUUUUAGGACUGGUGGUCAUGAACACUGUUAUCUC